UACGUAGGGUGCGAGCGUUAAUCGGAAUUACUGGGCGUAAAGCGUGCGCAGGCGGUUGUGCAAGACAGAUGUGAAAUCCCCGGGCUUAACCUGGGAACUGCAUUUAUGACUGCACGGCUGGAGUGCGGCAGAGGGGGAUGGAAUUCCGCGUGUAGCAGUGAAAUGCGUAGAUAUGCGGAGGAACACCGAUGGCGAAGGCAAUCCCCUGGGCCUGCACUGACGCUCAUGCACGAAAGCGUGGGGAGCAAACAGG
rnacentral:rRNA from 1 species